UUCUAUUCUUACUCAGUUUCAAAACGAAAACUUACUAUGGGUAUGGGCUUCGGCAGUUGCAAGCAUCACACUCAACGAAAUGCAGUAGUACUUGUUAUUUUUUGGUCUGACCAAACGCUGUCGUUUGACAGUAUCGGUAAUAGCAGUGCUACAGCCUCUUUGGUAUCGUACGAUUUGGUGUCUGCCAGACCAAAUAUUUAUGGCCAACAGCAAGUUGAAAAUUUCUAAGUUCGAAUCAUAGCAAGGGGAUACCUUUGAAAUGUUGCUUAUUCCCUACAGUUGUAGCUCGAUGCCAAUUGAUUUGAUUCAUUCAUUGGUUUUGGCUCUGGUCGUUGCAUUAUGAUUCUGACUCGAGACGUGCGCUUCACUGGCAUUAGAGGAAGCUAGAGAAUUUGGCUAUCUGGUCUUAUGGAAGUGAUGCCUCAACAUCAUGCUGUAUUUCCGGAGGCAACCCUAUGAAGGGGGAAGUCUUCCUCGUUACAAUGGUAUCAAUGUUUCUAUUUUAGUCGAGCGUUCUCUGCUGUGUUCUUUAACAUUGGAUGUCAAUUCAAUUUAAUUGUAUCUGAUUGAAAUUGAUGCUUAUGAGUGGUGCUCCUCAAUAUGCAUACGCCACUCCAAUUCAUCAGCCUACUCUAUUAGCAGAUAACACUAAUUUUGUUUCACCUAAGAACCCAUUCAUCAUAAAUUAUAAUAUUUAUACAGUUUAUAAGACAAAUUAUCAUA